UACGGGGGGGGCAAGCGUUGUUCGGAAUUACUGGGCGUAAAGGGCUCGUAGGCGGCCAACUAAGUCGGACGUGAAAUCCCCAGGCUCAACCUGGGAACUGCGUCCGAUACUGGAUGGCUUGAAUUCGGGAGAGGGAUGCAGAAUUCCAGGUGUAGCGGUGAAAUGCGUAGAUAUCCGGAGGAACACCGGUGGCGAAGGCGGCUUCCUGGACCGACACUGACGCUGAGGCGCGAAAGCUAGGGGAGCAAACGGG
rnacentral:rRNA from 1 species